AAUUCUUAAUAAUGAUGACUGAUGAAUAAUGUCCUGUCCCCCCCCCCCGCCUGUCAUCCAGCUAUGUCCAGUGGGUUAGGGGGCAGUCGAGCAAGCCAGGGACCAGAAUGGAUGUACUGAAGAAGUACAUCCAGAUGAGGGAUGCACAGCAGGCACCGCCCAGCUCUGCGCCCUCCGAGGUCCCCCUUGCCGUUCCGGGCUCCUCUAAGGAGAUACCCACCACAGCUCCUGAGCUCUCAGACGCCGAGCUCCUGGCCUGCGCAGCGGAGCACGAGACGUCAGCCCUAAAUGCUGAAGUGGGUUAAGCUGCCAGUCUUUCCGCGCCCCCGCCCCCCACCCCCAAAGCGGUCGCUUCACGCUCCUCUCCUCGGAAAGCCCCCGCGAAGGGAGAGGUUUCCCGUGCUGCUUCUGAGG